CAACAGGGAUUGCCCUAGUAACGGCGAGUGAAGCGGCAACAGCUCAAAUUUGAAAUCUGGCUCUCGGGCCCGAGUUGUAAUUUGUAGAGGAUACUUUUGAUGCGGUGCCUUCCGAGUUCCCUGGAACGGGACGCCAUAGAGGGUGAGAGCCCCGUCUGGUUGGAUGCCAAAUCUCUGUAAAGUUCCUUCGACGAGUCGAGUAGUUUGGGAAUGCUGCUCUAAAUGGGAGGUAUAUGUCUUCUAAAGCUAAAUACCGGCCAGAGACCGAUAGCGCACAAGUAGAGUGAUCGAAAGAUGAAAAGCACUUUGAAAAGAGAGUUAAAAAGUACGUGAAAUUGUUGAAAGGGAAGCGUUUAUGACCAGACUUGGGCUUGGUUAAUCAUCUGGGGUUCUCCCCAGUGCACUUUUCCAGUCCAGGCCAGCAUCAGUUUUUGCCGGGGGAUAAAGACUUCGGGAAUGUGGCUCUCUUCGGGGAGUGUUAUAGCCCGUUGUGUAAUACCCUGGCGGGGACUGAGGUUCGCGCAUCUGCAAGGAU
rnacentral:rRNA from 1 species